CGGCGGGGUUGCAUCUUGACUGGGAGGCUGAGUCUCUUUAGACUCAUGCACCCCUAAAUUUGGCAGGGCAUGUUGCUCUGCCAUUUUGCUUUGUUUGAAAAGCAAUAGCGUCGAAAGACAACAGUGGAGCUAAAGA
rnacentral:sRNA from 1 species